rnacentral:pre_miRNA from 1 species
ACAACAUUCGGACCGUCGGUCUACCGAGCAAUAUCACUGCUCGGUAGAAGAUCUUACCUCCAUGGU